rnacentral:pre_miRNA from 1 species
AAGGUCCAACCUCAUAUGUCCUGUAUUGUUGAAAGUGGGAUGUACGUGGUUAGAUCUAUC